UUUUAAUCAGAUUUCAGACUUGUUAUUUGCAGAAGGAUUAGUCCAUCAUUGCCAAAUGCUGGAUGCUCUUUGUACUCUUUUGCCUACUAAAAGUUUGCAAUUUUCCUUGAGAUAAGAAAUAAGAAAAAAGCGGUGGCGUGGCAGGUCUUAACUUUCAUUCUCAAGAGUCUAAAGCCUAAAAAUGAAUUUUCCUUUCUUAAUAUGGCACUUAAAUUAAAAUGCAUUAAGAAAAAAAUUUUCAAAAUCUUUGAUGCUGGGAGGGGAGACCCCAACCUGAGCAUCUAGGGGAAGGGAAACUUAUUGGGUCUGUUCCGUUACGUGCAGUUCCAGAAAGACACCAGCAGGGGGAAAAUAGUUUUGUAUUUUGCACCAAAGCCCGCGCGGCGCGGCUAAUUCUCCAACCAAAGGAAGAAAGGGAAGAGCGUCCGGAGACCUCGGUCAUUACUCGGGAAAACUGGCCUGGAAGAAUCGCUCGGAACGCAGAGGACCCGCGAAAUUGGGUACACAUACUCGCAGUAGUCCUCUCUUUCGAGGCACACGGGGUAACUUGGCUGAGACUCCCUGGUGACUGUCCAGCUCGGGACUCGGCUGCAGCAGCGCAAAGCUUCCUCCAGAGCGCUGCGGGCAGGAGGGACCCAGGUGUGGCCGCGCCCGGGGCGGAGGGUACCAGGUGAGCACGCACCCCAGGCCGAGUGCGAUCCAGGUGAGUGUAGCUGGAGUCCAUGGGGGACCCAGCGAGCCCGCGCCCAGGUGCGCAGCGGAGCCAGGGCAGCAGAGUCCAGCGAUACUAGGGUCUCGGUCAGGUUUGGGUUUAGGACUUAAGCAGUCUGUGGGCAAAAUGAGUUGCAGCGAAGAGCUGCGCGCUCAUGAUCCAGGCUACGGGCCUGGGCACAGCUGUGUGGUCAAGGGCUGCGGCC
rnacentral:lncRNA from 1 species